CAUUGCUGGACUGUUUGACUCUUUUCCACGUCCAUUAAAGUGGUGCCAGGCACAGCGUCUCCUCUGCCUCGCUCCGUGUUGACCCGACCCUGGACUCUCCUCCCACUGCAUGGGUGAGGCUUGGAAGUUGCAGCACAUAACCACACUUACUGAUCACUGGCUACAAAAGGCCCCCAGGCCGCACUUUGGUCACCCUGUCCUAUGGGUUUUAAGAUCAGCCAGCACUGGUUCCUCCACCUUCAAGGCUCCGUUAUAGUGCCAAUGAAACAUGCCCUUUAAUCAUUGCGAAACAGUCAUGGAAUAGGAAGCCUGGUACACAGGAAGCAGAGCAUUUUCUUUUGCCUAGGGCAGCCGUCUCUGUGUGCUGCAGAAGAGGGCUGAUGGGACCCUUAGAUUAACUUCCUACUUACUUACUUACAAGCAUAGGCCA